rnacentral:rRNA from 1 species
GACGAACGCUGGCGGCGUGCUUAACACAUGCAAGUGGAGCGACGAACCAGGGCUUGCCCUGGGGCAGAGCCGCGAACGGGUGAGUAACACGUGGGUAACCUACCUCGAUGACCGGGACAACCCGAGGAAACUCGGGCUAAUACCGGAUGUGCUCAAUCCUCUCAAGUGGAUUGAGUAAAGAUAGCUUUCGCCUUCGCAUCGAGACGGGCCCGCGGCCCAUUAGCUUGUUGGUGAGGUAACGGCUCACCAAGGCUGCGAUGGGUAGCUGGUCUGAGAGGACGAUCAGCCACACUGGGACUGAGACACGGCCCAGACUCCUACGGGAGGCAGCAGUGGGGAAUCUUGCGCAAUGCGCGAAAGCGUGACGCAGCAACGCCGCGUGGGGGAAGAAGGCCUUCGGGUUGUAAACCCCUUUCAGUUGGGACAAAGCUUCGAGGGUUAAUAGCCCUCUGGAGUGACGGUACCUUCAGAAGAAGCCCCGGCUAACUACGUGCCAGCAGCCGCGGUAAUACGUAGGGGGCUAGCGUUGUCCGGAAUCAUUGGGCGUAAAGCGCGUGUAGGCGGUCCGGUAAGUCCGCUGUGAAAGUCGGGGGCUCAACCCUCGGAUGCCGGUGGAUACUGUCGGGCUUGAGUACGGAAGAGGCGAGUGGAAUUCCUGGUGUAGCGGUGAAAU